UCCGGCAGGCUGAUGUUGAAGAUGCGGCUGAAGUUGUGGAGGGUCCGGUUCCAGCGGAGCUGCGCGGCCGCCUCCGACGGGCUCUCGAGGGCCGAGAAGACGGUGGCGCCGGCGCUCAGGGCUACUUUCAGCUGGGAUCCAGUCUCCAGCAUGUUCCCAGAAGCACUUGCCUUGCUGCAGCAGAGCGUGGUGAAAAGUGGAGGAGGAAUGUCUGUCUGGGAGCUGGCAGCCCUGAAUCUCGUGAUGCCACUGAGGAAACAAUCCCUGGGGAUGGGGCCUCCUUGCAUUUCCCAUCCCUGCCUGCACUGACAGGAAAAAUAGCGGCAAUUUUCAACCAGUUGGCCUUAUCCUCCCUCCUGGCUUUGAAAAAUCGAUGAAUCUGAAACACAAAAGAUGAAGAAGGAUUUCUGCUUGUGUCAAGAAAACCCUUUAAUUUCUCAAUGUUAAUAUUUCUAAUUUACAUAUAUUGCUUGGGGGUUUAGAGAUUAUUUGGAAUAGCAACUAUGAAUCCUCCUUCCACAUAUGUUGGGACAAGAAGCUACUUAUAGCUUUUGAUUUGCAGUUGGAGGAAGAACCAUAAAUAUUCCCUACUUCAGCAGGAAAAUAGUUCCAGCAAUAUAAAAAAAAGAGCCUCAGUAUGUAGGAAUGGCAUAGGAUUUGGGCUGCACUGAUUAUGCUGUUUCAGAGAUUUAUCUCUUUGAAGUUUCUGGUACAGCCUUGUGUCCAUUUAAAGACAGCAGAACCCUAUGUUAAGCUUUGCAUCAUUAACAGAAUGGUGAGCAAAAAAUGCUCUGUGGAAACAGCCCAACCCCUUGGCUUUAUGCUCCUGAAUAUUCUAGGAAGAGACCUAAAAAUCACUGAUGUGAAAAUUCUCUAUGUGUUAUUAUGCCUUUGGGGACAUGGUAAUAAUCUGUGAUACCUUUUAACUAGUCAUCUGUGAUGGGGAGAGAGGGAAAAGGGCUGCAAUUGCUCUGCAUGUUUGUUAAAGGAUUAUUUCACCAGGUAUUUGAUAAAAUACAAUCCCUCAUGAUCAUGUAUAAUUUUACAGUGUUAAAAAUAAAUAUCACAAUGGUUUUUUAUUAGGGAUUUUUUUUAAAUUUUAACAUAGGUGGGUAGGUGUUUCAUAUGCAGUUUAUUGAAGCUGUAUUUUUGAUGUCUCCAAGAGGGAUGUGGAAUUGCUCUU